UACGUAGGGUGCGAGCGUUGUCCGGAUUUAUUGGGCGUAAAGAGCUCGUAGGCGGUUUGUCGCGUCGACUGUGAAAACCUACAGCUUAACUGUGGGCUUGCAGUCGAUACGGGCAGACUUGAGUUCGGUAGGGGAGACUGGAAUUCCUGGUGUAGCGGUGAAAUGCGCAGAUAUCAGGAGGAACACCGGUGGCGAAGGCGGGUCUCUGGGCCGAUACUGACGCUGAGGAGCGAAAGCGUGGGGAGCGAACAGG
rnacentral:rRNA from 1 species